rnacentral:rRNA from 1 species
ACGCUCGACACCUACGGAGGCAGCAGUGGGGAAUAUUGCACAAUGGGGGAAACCCUGAUGCAGCGACGCCGCGUGAGUGAAGAAGUAAUUCGUUAUGUAAAGCUCUAUCAGCAGGGAAGAAAGUGACGGUACCUGAGUAAGAAGCCCCGGCUAGCUACGUGCCAGCACGCCGACGGUAAUCUGAGGCGGGUCGUGGACGAACGGC